ensembl:lncRNA
GGGACCCCGGCUCCUGGCUGCCCCCUCCCCGCCGCCGAGCGCCCGGGCUUCGGGGAGGGUCGGGCCGGGAGGUGGGCAGCGAGAGGGCUGCGGAGGAGCUCUCCCGCCCCGGCUCCGUUUGCACAAGUGCAGGGAAUGUUCCACUGACCUACAUAUUUUUCCAAACAUACGUGACCUUUUUUUUUCUCUCUCUCUCUCUCGUUCUGUGGGAGGAGACAGGCGUGGAUCCAAGAAAAGGAGAAGCUGGAAAGAGAACGAAAGGGGAAGCAGGGGAAAAAAAAAAUAAUAAAACCUCAACCAAAAAACCCGGCCCUGAAUCAGGGAUGGCUUCACAGCGCCUCAAGCAAACCCGGCGUGCGGGCUACCGUACGGGACCGGAGCGGCAUCCCCGCGCCGCGCUGCCGGCUGCCCCUAUAUCCCAAAACUUUGCAAAGCUCCUCCCUUCCGUUGGAUGGAACCCAGCAGUUUUUUUUUUCCCAUUUGGAAAUUGUCAAACAGUGGUUAAACAAUCCUUUGGCAAACAAGUAGCAC